GGUCUCGGAUCCGUGCGGAAAAACCCAAGACCCCUCCUCCGAUUCCUCGCCGGAAAGUCGCCGGAACACCCUCAUCGGGCCGAGGGGAAGAGUCAGCGGUGCCAGGAGGUUUUGAUCAGGGGACUCAGCACCCCAGCUCGUAGGUUGUGAUCCAGAUCUGUAUUUGAGUCUGUCUACAAUUUCGGGGAAGAGUCAGCGGUGCCAGGAGGUUUUGAUCAGGGGACUCAGCACCCCAGCUCGUAGGUUGUGAUCCAGAUCUGUAUUUGAGUCUGUCUACAAUUUCGAGUUGCAGGAUGCAUAGAUUUGGAUGGGAUGGGCGCAGAGUGCGAGUACCAGAGUUAU